rnacentral:rRNA from 1 species
UACGAAGGGGGCUAGCGUUGCUCGGAAUCACUGGGCGUAAAGGGUGCGUAGGCGGGUCUUUAAGUCAGGGGUGAAAUCCUGGAGCUCAACUCCAGAACUGCCUUUGAUACUGAGGAUCUUGAGUAUGGGAGAGGUGAGUGGAACUGCGAGUGUAGAGGUGAAAUUCGUAGAUAUUCGCAAGAACACCAGUGGCGAAGGCGGCUCACUGGCCCGAUACUGACGCUGAGGCACGAAAGCGUGGGGAGCAAACAGG